rnacentral:rRNA from 1 species
UACGUAGGGCGCAAGCGUUGUCCGGAAUUAUUGGGCGUAAAGAGCUCGUAGGCGGUCUGUCGCGUCUGCUGUGAAAACCUAGGGCUUAACUCUGGGCGUGCAGUGGGUACGGGCAGGCUAGAGUGCGGUAGGGGAGACUGGAAUUCCUGGUGUAGCGGUGAAAUGCGCAGAUAUCAGGAGGAACACCGAUGGCGAAGGCAGGUCUCUGGGCCACUACUGACGCUGAGAAGCGAAAGCAUGGGGAGCGAACAGG